UACAGCCACAUCACGUUGAAACAUCGGUAUCCGUACGAUCACCGAAGUUAAGCAACGUCGAACCUGGUCAGUACCUAGAUGGGUGACCACUUGAGAAUAUCAAGUUUUGUAA